AGAGCGAACGCUGGCGGCAGGCCUAACACAUGCAGGUCGAGCGCCCGUAGCAAUACGGGAGCGGCAGACGGGAUAGUAACACGUGGGAACGCGCCCUUCGGUUCGGAAUAACUCAGGGAAACUUGAGCUAAUACCGGAUACGCCCUUACGGGGAAAGAUUUAUUGCCGAAGGAACGGCCCGCGUCCGAUUAGCUAGUUGGUGAGGUAAUGGCUCACCAAGGCUACGAUCGGUAGCUGGUCUGAGAGGAUGACCAGCAUCACUGGGACUGAGACACGGCCCAGACUCCUACGGGAGGCAGCAGUGGGGAAUAUUGGACAAUGGGCGCAAGCCUGAUCCAGCCAUGCCGCGUGGAUGAUGAAGGCCUUAGGGUUGUAAAGUCCUUUUAACGGGGAAGAUAAUGACGGUACCCGUAGAAUAAGCCCCGGCUAACUUCGCGCCAGCAGCCGC
rnacentral:rRNA from 1 species